rnacentral:rRNA from 1 species
GAUGAACGCUGGCGGCGUGCCUAAUACAUGCAAGUCGAGCGAACAGACGAGGAGCUUGCUCCUCUGACGUUAGCGGCGGACGGGUGAGUAACACGUGGAUAACCUACCUAUAAGACUGGGAUAACUUCGGGAAACCGGAGCUAAUACCGGAUAAUAUAUUGAACCGCAUGGUUCAAUAGUGAAAGACGGUUUUGCUGCCACUUAUAGAUGGAUCCGCGCCGCAUUAGCUAGUUGGUAAGGUAACGGCUUACCAAGGCAACGAUGCGUAGCCGACCUGAGAGGGUGAUCGGCCACACGGGAACUGAGACACGGUCCAGACUCCUACGGGAGGCAGCAGUAGGGAAUCUUCCGCAAUGGGCGAAAGCCUGACGGAGCAACGCCGCGUGAGUGAUGAAGGUCUUCGGAUCGUAAAACUCUGUUAUUAGGGAAGAACAAAUGUGUAAGUAACUAUGCACGUCUUGACGGUACCUAAUCAGAAAGCCACGGCUAACUACGUG